rnacentral:rRNA from 1 species
CGGAGGAUCCAAGCGUUAUCCGGAAUCAUUGGGUUUAAAGGGUCCGUAGGCGGCUUUAUAAGUCAGUGGUGAAAUCUCACGGCUCAACCGUGAAAUGGCCAUUGAUACUGUAGGGCUUGAAUUACCAGGAAGUAACUAGAAUAUGUAGUGUAGCGGUGAAAUGCUUAGAUAUUACAUGGAAUACCAAUUGCGAAGGCAGGUUACUACUGGUGGAUUGACGCUGAUGGACGAAAGCGUGGGUAGCGAACAGGAUU